rnacentral:rRNA from 1 species
UACGGAGGAUGCAAGCGUUAUCCGGAAUAAUUGGGCGUAAAGCGUCCGUAGGUGGCUGUUCAAGUCUGCCGUUAAAGACCGGGGCUUAACCCUGGAAAGGCGGUGGAAACUGAGCGGCUAGAGUGCAGUAGGGGUAGAGGGAAUUCCCAGUGUAGCGGUGAAAUGCGUAGAGAUUGGGAAGAACACCGGUGGCGAAAGCGCUCUGCUGGACUGCAACUGACACUGAGGGACGAAAGCUAGGGGAGCUAAUGGG